rnacentral:rRNA from 1 species
UGGGGAAUCUUGCACAAUGGGGGAAACCCUGAUGCAGCGACGCCGCGUGAACGAUGAAGCCCUUCGGGGUGUAAAGUUCUUUCGACAGGAACGAUAAUGACGGUACCUGGAGAAGAAGCUGCGGCUAACUACGUGCCAGCAGCCGCGGUAAUACGUAGGCAGCGAGCGUUGUUCGGAGUUACUGGGCGUAAAGAGUGCGUAGGCGGCGAGCCAAGUUUGGUGUGAAAUCUCCCGGCUUAACCGGGAGGGUGCGCCGAAAACUGGUUGGCUGGAGUAUGGGAGAGGAAAGCGGAAUUCCUAGUGUAGCGGUGAAAUGCGUAGAGAUUAGGAAGAACACCAGUGGCGAAGGCGACUUUCUGGACCGUAACUGACGCUGAGGCAUGAAAGCGUGGGGAGCAAAC